UAGAAGCAUCGUGGCAAUUGUUUGAGAAAAUAUAGGUAGUUCUAGUGAAUGCACUACAGAAUGUUGGAAGUAGUGGUGAGCUUAUAGAUUUAAAAUGUGUUAGAAUCAAAUAAAAAAACAAAAAUAAAAUUUAGAAUCUGUCUACAGCAGCGAAGAUGACCUUCAAAUUGUAAGUAAAAUUAAUUUUUCUUAGAAGGAAAACAUCUCCAGUUAGUGAGAUUACAACCAAAGAGAAUAAUAAAAUGUAAUCACAAAGAAUGUUGCAUUUUUGCCUCUUUCUUAGGGACCUUCUCAAAUGAUUCAUGUGAGAAAUUGCUUCUGCUGUACGAGUUUGAAGUUAGAGCCAAAUUGAAUGAUCCAUUACUGGAAAGCUUCCUGGAAUCAGUGUGGGAGCUGCCUCAUUUAGAAACUAAAACAUUUGAAACAAUUGCAAUAAUAGCAAUGGAGAAGCCUGCACACUAUCCUUUAAUUGCUCUCAAGGCCUUGAAAAGGCUUUAUUGCUCUACAAAAGGAAGAAUCAAUUGAUAUAUCACAGUACAGCAAAUGUAUGCACAACUUGAUUAACCUCUCAGUGCCAGAUGGGUCGUCGAAUGUAGAGCUCUGUCCCCUGGAAGAAGUUUGGGGCUAUUUUGAAGAUGCUCUGAGCCACAUUAGCCGCACUAAAGACUACCCAGAAAUGGAGAUUCUCUGGCUGAUGGUCAAGUCCUGGAAUACUGGAAUACUUAUGUUUAGCAGGAGCAAGUAUGUAUCUACUGAAAAGUGGUGUGGCCUGGCCUUGCGUUUCCUUGACCACCUUACCUCCUUCAAGGAAAGCUAUGAAACUCAGCUGAAUAUGCUGUAUAGUCAGCUUGUGGAAGCACUGAGUAACAACGAGGGCCCAGUUUUUCAUGAACAUGGCUACUGGAGCAAGUCAGAUUAGGCAAGCUCACGGCCACAUGAAGAAGAUACGUUGUCCUGAGAUGCUGACUGUUUAAAUUUUGCCAGAGUUUCUCUUGAGGUUUUGUUUCUGUUUCCUCAGACCCUGUUUUCAUGUUGUUGAAUAAACUUUCUAAAAUAAAAGCAUGUUGAAUUUACC
rnacentral:lncRNA from 1 species